UACGUAGGGGGCUAGCGUUGUCCGGAGUUACUGGGCGUAAAGGGCACGCAGGCGGUGCGGCGCGUUUCGCGUGACAGCGGAGGGCUUAACUCUCCGAGGAUGCGAAAGACGGCGGCACUUGAGGGCCAGAGAGGGACACGGAAUUCCGGGUGGAGUGGUGAAAUGCGUGGAGAUCCGGAGGAACACCGAAGGCGAAGGCAGUGUCCUGGCUGGUGACUGACGCUGAGGUGCGAAAGCUAGGGUAGCAAACGGG
rnacentral:rRNA from 1 species